UACACUCUUAGUCAAAUACCGUAUAAUGUCCGGCACAUAUGCGGUAUAUUUUCGUUCCAGCGUAAAGUACUGCAUAUAAACGGACUUUCGAGCAAUAUUAUGCGUGACAAUGGCUGCGGCGGCAGGCUAGGCCCGCUAUAUGCGGCCGCGAGCGGACGCAACGCUUAUAUGCAGCCUUGCAAAUUUGGCGCGCAAAAAGCGCGCCGAAGCGUUGAGAGAGCGUUACAAAGCAAAAACUGUAAGGAGCAGUGAGGGUUAUGCUUUGAGGGAGAAAGUAAAGCAAAAUGCAAAAGGAGAGAACGAAGAGAAACAAGUCGACGCCUCCGCUUUGCUUUGAUGGCGGAGGAGGAGGAAAGGCUGCGCCGACCGGACCGGGAAGGAGCGAGAACAUGGCGUAUGGCGGCGUGCGAGGCGAUUGUUUUCGGCGGUAAUUAUCGUCAUAUCUUUGUACCGGCGACGUUAUGCGACUGUGUUCGUGUUGUGAAGUGAUCUGGCCGCGUCGGUGAACGCUCUCGAUGAUGUCAGGGAUGUUCAAAUCCACCGUUGUUACCGGAAAUUGCAAAAAAGCAGUGCAACUUCGACAACUCGUGUGAGUACGACGGCCACACGGGCGAUCAGCGGCGGCGGGCCGCCAUGUGCGCUGGAUCGGCGGGCCCAGGAGUGCGUGCUGUAGAGCUGCGAACCUGUGCCUAUUUGGAAUAAAGUGGGACGUCAACAAUAAUAAGAACGCCACCCAUGAAAGCAGAACCCCGGGCUCUCCAUUGGAACUUUAGAGUGGACCACCGCACCGGUACGACGGUCACCUGGAGGCCCAGGAGUCAUCAGGACAAAUAACUCUGAAUAUAUAUAAAUGAUAUCUAAUGUGUUUGUGAUGACGGAGCAAUUAUGUCAAAAUGAAACACAUAUUUAAAAAUGUUUUUUUUCUCUUGUUAGCAAUGUAUUCAUAAAAAACUUCACUUGGAUCUCUCUGCAUUCACCCAACCACUGCGGCAUGUAUACAGAGUGUGCUCCGCAAGACAAAAGAUUUUUUAUGUUGCUUGGCUCCCAAAAGAGUUCUUCAAUUCAAAUACGUACAAGGUGUGUUCGAAAAGAAACCAAACUUUUGCUUUAACAUCUUUAUUGCUUAUUGUACAACAUUUUAUGCAUGGCCCCUACAAAGUAGUCCCCUCUUCUGGCAAUACAUUGUUCCUAUCAUCUCAUCCAUUUUUUGAAAGCCUCCUGGAACACUUUUUCUGGGAUGGCGCGUAGGUCUCGUGUCGCAUUGUCUUGAAUUUCUUUUAUGGGUUGGAAACGACGUCCUUUCAACGUGAUUUUAAGUUCGGGAAACAGGAAAAAGGCUUCUUGGGCUAGGUCUGGAAAGUACGGUGGAUGGGGCACGAGAGUGUGAUGUUUUGCUAGAUAGCCGCAGACAAGGAGAGACGCGUGAACUAGGUCAUUGUCAUGUUGCAACAAUUAAGUCUGGGUUUCCCACAAUUCAGGCUUCCUACUGGACACAGCAUCCCACAAACGCGCUAGAAUUCCUUGGUAGACCGCCUUGUUUACCAUCUCACCACGUGGUACAAAUUCCUGAUGGACUAUAUCUUUCCAGUCGGAAACCACCACCAUUACCUUGAUUUUUUUGCUGACUCUUGCGUGCUUUCUUGGACGAGAAGACUGUUCGCCCACCCACUGCGACGACUGCACUUUUGUUUCAAUAUCAGAGCCAUAAACCCACGUCUCAUUGCCUGUUGUGAUGUUACAGAAGUUUUCAUUAUCUCUGCCAGUGGCAUGCAGUUCCCGGCUUAUUUCAACACAGGUGUUUCUGAUCGACAGUCAACAAACGCGGCACGAAUUUUGCACUGACACGAUGCAUCUCAAGUUUGUCAUUCACAAUAGGAUGCCAUGAUCCUAUGCUGAUGCCCACUUCGUCAGCUAGUUCUCAAACAGCUAAACGACGAUUUCCACGAAUCACAGCACGCACUCUCUCGACAUGGUCAUCAUCUGUUAAUGUGGAAGGUCGUCCAGGCUUGGGAUCGUCACCAACCGACAUUCUGCCUUGUUCAAAAUGCUUAAACUACUCAUAGCACUGAGUGCGACUCAUACAGUUUUCCCCAUAUGCUUGGCUGGGCAAUUGAAAUGUCUCUGUGAAAAUUUUGCCAAGUUUGUAGCAAAAUUUCACACACACACGUUCUUCUACAUCCUCUUUCGUUGUUACUUUGGCACUAAUCCAACAAACAGCUUGUACACGUGCGCACUUCGGCGGCAGUAGCUCACCAACCAAUGGUCAGA